rnacentral:rRNA from 1 species
AGCGAACGCUGGCGGCAGGCUUAACACAUGCAAGUCGAACGGGCGUAGCAAUACGUCAGUGGCAGACGGGUGAGUAACGCGUGGGAACGUACCUUUUGGUUCGGAACAACCCAGGGAAACUUGGGCUAAUACCGGAUCAGCCCUUACGGGGAAAGAUUUAUCGCCGAAAGAUCGGCCCGCGUCUGAUUAGCUUGUUGGUGAGGUAACGGCUCACCAAGGCGACGAUCAGUAGCGGGUCUGAGAGGAUGGUCAGCCACAUUGGGACUGAGACACGGCCCAAACUCCUACGGGAGGCAGCAGUGGGGAAUAUUGGACAAGGGGCGCAGGCCUGAUCCAGCCAUGCCGCGUGAGUGAUGAAGGCCCUAGGGUUGUAAAGCUCUUUUGUGCGGGAAGAUAAUGACGGUACCGCAGGAAUAAGCCCCGGCUAACUUCGUGCCAGCCGCCGCCGUAAGAC